rnacentral:rRNA from 1 species
GUGCCAGCAGCCGCGGUAAUACGGAGGGUGCAAGCGUUAAUCGGAAUUACUGGGCGUAAAGCGUGCGUAGGCGGUUUAUUAAGUCAGAUGUGAAAGCCCCGGGCUUAACCUGGGAACUGCAUUUGAAACUGGUCAACUAGAGUAUGGUAGAGGAAAGUGGAAUUUCUGGUGUAGCGGUGAAAUGCGUAGAUAUCAGAAGGAACAUCAAUGGCGAAGGCAGCUUUCUGGACCAAUACUGACGCUGAGGUACGAAAGCGUGGGUAGCAAACAGGGUUAGAUACCCUGGUAGUCCACGCCGUAAACGAUGAUAACUAGCCGUUGGGGGGAUCUACCCUUUAGUGGCGAAGCUAACGCGUUAAGUUAUCCGCCUGGGGAGUACGGCCGCAAGGUUAAAACUUAAAGGAAUUGACGG